CCUCCCCGCUCUAGGACUGUAAGGACAAAGUUUUAGGAUGGAGAGGCUUGUAUCUAGGUUCGGCUCGGGUAAACACGUAACUUGUUUGCCAGAUGACCUUCUCCUGCUCCUUGGGAGCCUGGCCAGUUCCCAGGGAGGAGGAUAAAGGAAUGUUUCUGAUAAACAGGUGGGCAUGCUUCGUGUCUCGGCUCUCUGGCCAAGAUCCGAGACGGGAUGCACUGCUUGCCUAAAAUCUUGGCAAUGAGCCCCCUUUGUCCUUGGGGGCUUUAAGAGGGAGCCAGAGCAAGCCUCUGCUGCUGCUGUUCCAUCCCGGGGGAACACGCAGUCAUGCUGGACGUUGAACGUGCCCGUGAUGACUACUGAUGAUGCUUCGUUCUCAGUAGGGAUCCUUUUCCGGUGCUGUGUGAAGACUGCCUAGUGAUGCUCACAGUACGGUGAAUUCUACGGAACGUAAGUACAAGGUGGACGUGGAUCAAUUGGCUACUGUGGCAGAGGUGUUCCGUGACAGUCCCUCUGACAAGGGAUUAGCAAAAUGGAUUCACUUAAAAACAGGACAUUCAGGACCUUCCGCUACGCACAGAUCCUUUCUGUUUCUAUUCUCUUCUUGGACCGCUUGUGCUUGGACUCCUGGAACUCCCCUGCAGUUCUGUGGCACCAGGACUACCGUUACCCGCAGAUGGGAUGGAACAAUCACACAAGAUCUCGCCUGAAGAUACCUUCUCCUGUCCUACUAAUCAGCCAUGUUACAUGAUAAAUUUGACAGUAACUGGAUAAAAUGUAACUACUUACACUGGGAGUAAAAAAUGUAAAUGAGUGUACACUGGACACCCCCACCCUGCAUUUGAAUACUUCAUCUGAAGUAAAUGUUACCUGUUGUAAAGUUAUAUUACUAUGUAAAAAGAGAAAUUGUGGUGACAAAAUGUCUGGACUGCAGUAAAACAAUGUAAUCCUUCUAUCACUGAA